CAUAGGUCUGCUGAUAAUGUUCCCCUUUAACCAACUACUCAAUUUUUUGGUUUAAUUUUCCAAUUACUUUAUUGCUAAUUGUCUAUCUUACCCAGAAGAGCUAAUUGGUCAACGCCCACAAUGAGUAAUUAUUCAUGUUCCUAUUCCUACGUAUCCCAGCCUAGGAACUACGAUGGUACAUUUACCAACUUUAGCCUCGGCACACAGGAGGAGUUAACCCCCGAGGUUACCCCUUUUGGACUAUAGACUAUUCGUUAUUAUUACCCAUACUUACCUUUUUUCACACACUAACGCUAAUUUAGUGUUGCCAAUCAACCUAUCCCCAGGUGCAUAUCUUUGGAGGUGGGAGGAAGCCGGAGUACCUGGAGGGAACCCACACCGUCACGGGGAGAACUCCACAUAGAAAGAUCCCGAGCCCGGGAUUGAACUCAGGACCUUCGUAUUGUGAGGCGCCAACUCUCCUCUUCCAAGGGAUCUAUUGAGAGUGUCUGACAGCUCGGGUUGAACUUGGCCACUCUGCAAAGAAAUACAUAUUUGACAUGCUGAACAUGAUCAUAAUGUGCCUUUAUAUGUAAUAAAUAUUCAAUAUUU